rnacentral:rRNA from 1 species
CUUCGGGGUGUGACUGCGUACCUUUUGUAUAAUGGGUCAGCGACUUAUAUUCUGUAGCAAGGUUAACCGUAUAGGGGAGCCGGAGGGAAACCGAGUCUUAAUUGGGCGUUAAGUUGCAGGGUAUAGACCCGAAACCCGGUGAUCUAGCCAUGGGCAGGUUGAAGGUUGGGUAACACUAACUGGAGGACCGAACCGACUAAUGUUGAAAAAUUAGCGGAUGACCUGUGGCUGGGGGUGAAAGGCCAAUCAAACCGGGAGAUAGCUGGUUCUCCCCGAAAGCUAUUUAGGUAGCGCCUCGUGAAUUCAUCUCCGGGGGUAGAGCACUGUUUCGGCUAGGGGGCCAUCCCGGCUUACCAACCCGAUGCAAACUGCGAAUACCGGAGAAUGUUAUCACGGGAGACACACGGCGGGUGCUAACGUCCGUCGUGAAGAGGGAAACAACCCAGACCGCCAGCUAAGGUCCCAAAGUCAUGGUUAAGUGGGAAACGAUGUGGGAAGGCCCAGACA